UUGAUACAUAAAACCACGCA
rnacentral:siRNA from 1 species